GGGUUGUGAGGUUAAGCGACUAAGCGUACACGGUGGAUGCCCUGGCAGUCAGAGGCGAUGAAGGACGUGCUAAUCUGCGAUAAGCGUCGGUGAGGUGAUAUGAACCGUUAUAACCGGCGAUUUCCGAAUGGGGAAACCCAGUGUGUUUCGACACACUAUCAUUAACUGAAUCCAUAGGUUAAUGAGGCGAACCGGGGGAACUGAAACAUCUAAGUACCCCGAGGAAAAGAAAUCAACCGAGAUUCCCCCAGUAGCGGCGAGCGAACGGGGAGGAGCCCAGAGCCUGAAUCAGUGUGUGUGUUAGUGGAAGCGUCUGGAAAGGCGCGCGAUACAGGGUGACAGCCCCGUACACAAAAAUGCACAUAUUGUGAGCUCGAUGAGUAGGGCGGGACACGUGGUAUCCUGUCUGAAUAUGGGGGGACCAUCCUCCAAGGCUAAAUACUCCUGACUGACCGAUAGUGAACCAGUACCGUGAGGGAAAGGCGAAAAGAACCCCGGCGAGGGGAGUGAAAAAGAACCUGAAACCGUGUACGUACAAGCAGUGGGAGCCUCUUUAUGGGGUGACUGCGUACCUUUUGUAUAAUGGGUCAGCGACUUAUAUUCUGUAGCAAGGUUAACCGAAUAGGGGAGCCGAAGGGAAACCGAGUCUUAACUGGGCGUUAAGUUGCAGGGUAUAGACCCGAAACC
rnacentral:rRNA from 1 species